UCUUCGGAGAGUUUGAUCCUGGCUCAGGACGAACGCUGGCGGCGUGCCUAAUACAUGCAAGUCGAGCGAAUCUCAGGGAGCUUGCUCCCUGAGAUUAGCGGCGGACGGGUGAGUAACACGUGGGCAACCUGCCUAUAAGACUGGGAUAACUUCGGGAAACCGGAGCUAAUACCGGAUACGUUCUUUUCUCGCAUGAGAGA
rnacentral:rRNA from 1 species